rnacentral:tRNA from 1 species
GCGGAAAUAGCUCAACGGUAGAGCGCAACCUUGCCAAGGUUGAAGCGGGAGUUCGAUCCUCCCUUUCCGCGCCA